rnacentral:rRNA from 1 species
GAUGAACGCUGGCGGCGUGCUUAACACAUGCAAGUCGAACGGAAAGGCCCAAGCUUGCUUGGGUACUCGAGUGGCGAACGGGUGAGUAACACGUGGGUGAUCUGCCCUGCACUUCGGGAUAAGCCUGGGAAACUGGGUCUAAUACCGGAUAGGACCACUUCUUGGAUGUUGUGGUGGAAAGUUUUUUCGGUGUGGGAUGAGCUCGCGGCCUAUCAGCUUGUUGGUGGGGUAAUGGCCUACCAAGGCGUCGACGGGUAGCCGGCCUGAGAGGGUGUACGGCCACAUUGGGACUGAGAGACGGCCCAGACUCCUACGGGAGGCAGCAGUGGGGAAUAUUGCACAAUGGGCGCAAGCCUGAUGCAGCGACGCCGCGUGGGGGAUGACGGCCUUCGGGUUGUAAACUCCUUUCGCUAGGGACGAAGCGUUUUUGUGACGGUACCUGGAGAAGAAGCACCGGCUAACUACGUG